GGUCCGGUAGCUCAGCUGGAUAGAGCAACAGCCUUCUAAGCUGUGGGUCAAGAGUUCGAAUCUCUUCCGGAUCACCA
rnacentral:tRNA from 1 species